GAUGAACGCUAGCGGCAGGCCUAAUACAUGCAAGUCGAACGAGAUCAGUUCUUUCGGGAACUGGUUUAGUGGCGCACGGGUGCGUAACGCGUAUGCAACCUACCUUCCACAGGGGGAUAGCCCACCGAAAGGUGGAUUAAUACCGCAUAACACCACGGUCCUGGCAUCAGGAUGUGGUCAAAGAUUUAUCGGUGGAAGAUGGGCAUGCGUGCCAUUAGUUAGUUGGUAGGGUAACGGCCUACCAAGACUUCGAUGGCUAGGGGUUCUGAGAGGAUGGUCCCCCACACUGGUACUGAGACACGGACCAGACUCCUACGGGAGGCAGCAGUAGGGAAUAUUGGGCAAUGGCCGAGAGGCUGACCCAGCCAUGCCGCGUGCAGGAAGAAGGCCUUCUGGGUUGUAAACUGCUUUUAUCUGGGAAGAAAACGCCCCUGCGGGGGUAACUGACGGUACCAGAUGAAUAAGCACCGGCUAACUCCGUGCCAGCAGCCGCGGUAAUACGGAGGGUG
rnacentral:rRNA from 1 species